UUUAAACACUGGUUCUCGUAUGAUCACAGAAGUUAAGCAAUAUCGAGACUGGUCAAUACCUAAAUGGGUGAUCGUUUGGGAAUACCAGCUGCUGUAAU